UACGGAGGGGGCUAGCGUUGUUCGGAAUCACUGGGCGUAAAGGGCGUGUAGGCGGUCAGGUAAGUGGGAUGUGAAAUCCCUCGGCUCACCCGAGGAUCUGCAUCUCAAACUGCCUGGCUUGAGGGUCGAAGAGGAGAGUGGAAUUCCUGGUGUAGCGGUGAAAUGCGUAGAGAUCAGGAGGAACACCCAUGGCGAAGGCAGCUCUCUGGUCGACAUCUGACGCUGAGACGCGAAAGCGUGGGGAGCGAACGGG
rnacentral:rRNA from 1 species